GUUACAUGUGGUUGGCUGCGGCGUUUGCAACAACUUCCAUGCUUUCAGACCUCUUCAGUUGUGCGGCAAGGCUUGUAUCGCCUUGAGCGUAUUGUGGGUUUUCUGUGUUGGCUACCUAAUCAAUGGUAUCGGUUGGAUUGAUCAAUGUUUCAUUUCGUCUACCGUCGCAUUCGCGGCGUGAGAUGAACCUUGAUGCGGUCUCUUUGAUCCACCUCGUCGAAGCGCAUGCUUUGGCGUUGUGGCACAUUGAGCAUUGCUUGGUCUCUUGUAUACGGAACAUAUAGUGGGCAUGGAUCUAACGAUUCUCGUUUGCCCUCAUAUUAGCGUAACGCUUCUCUUACACGACUUGCACCACGUUUUAGCUCGUAC
rnacentral:misc_RNA from 1 species